UUGGAGGGCAAGUCUGGUGCCAGCAGCCGCGGUGAUUCCAGCUCCAAUAGCGUAUAUUAAAGUUGUUGCAGUUAAAAAGCUCGUAGUUGAACUUCGGGGUUUACCCAUUGGUCAGGCUUAAUUGUCUGUACUGGUGAGAUAAAUCUCUACCUUCUGAGGAACUUUCAUGCCAUUUAGUUGGUGUGAUAGGAAAUCAGGACUGUUACUUUGAAAAAAUUAGAGUGUUUAAAGCAGGCUAACGUCUGAAUACAUUAGCAUGGAAUAAUGAAAUAGGACGGAUUGGUUCUAUUUCGUUGGUUUCUGGGAUCACCGUAAUGAUUAAUAGGGAUAGUUGGGGGCAUUAGUAUUCAAUUGUCAGAGGUGAAAUUCUUGGAUUUAUUGAAGACUAACUAUUGCGAAAGCAUUUGCCAAGGAUGUUUUCAUUAAUCAAGAACGAAAGUUAGGGGAUCGAAGACGAUCAGAUACCGUCGUAGUCUUAACCAUAAACUAUGCCGACUAGGGAUCGGACGAAGUUAAUUUUAUAAUGACGCGUUCGGCGCCUUACGGGAAAC
rnacentral:rRNA from 1 species